GACAGAGGGUGCAACCGUUGUUCGGAAUUACUGGGCGUAAAGCGUGUGUAGGCGGUCCUCUAAGUCGGAUGUGAAAUCCCUGGGCUCAACCCAGGAAGUGCACUCGAAACUGGAGGGCUAGAGUAUCGGAGAGGUUGGUGGAAUUCUCGGUGUAGAGGUGAAAUUCGUAGAUAUCGAGAGGAACACCGGUGGCGAAGGCGGCCAACUGGACGAAUACUGACGCUGAGACACGAAAGCGUGGGGAGCAAACAGG
rnacentral:rRNA from 1 species